rnacentral:rRNA from 1 species
GAUGAACGCUGGCGGCGUGCCUAAUACAUGCAAGUCGAGCGAACGGACGAGGAGCUUGCGUCGCUGAUGUUAGCGGAAGGCGGGUGAGAAACACGUGGAUCACCUACCUAUAAGAGUGAGAUAACUUCGGGAAACCGGAGCUAAUGCCGGAGAAUAUUCUGAACCGCAGGGGGCAAAAGAGAAAGACGGUGUUUGUGGAACGUAUAGAUGGAUCCGCGCUGCAUUAGCUAGUUGGUAAGGUAAAGGCUUAUCAAGGGAACGAUGCCUAGACGACGUGAUGGGGGGAUCGGCCACACUAGAAGUGAGACACGGUCCAGACUACUACGAGAGGGAGCAGUAGAGUAUCGGCCGCAGUGGUCGAAAGCCUUACGGAGCGACGCCGCGUGAGUGGUGAAGGUCUUCCGAUCGUAAAACUCUGUUAUUAGUGAAGAACCUAUGUGUAAGUAACUGAGCACAUCUUGACGGUAAUUAGUCAGAAAGCCACGGCUAACUACGUG